AAAGAGGAACUGUUAGAACUCCUCAACAAGGAAGCUUGAUCCUCAUUUAGUUUCAGCCCUGAACCAAACCUUUCGUUGAUACCUGCAGAUUUCUCCAUGGAGGGUUUGCUUGUCAAGAUACUCUGUCUGCUGUAUUACAGCAUCACAGUCUUCUUUGUGCUCAUUCUUUUGCGGAGAAUAGGGGUUGAAAUCCAGAGAUUUCAAAGGAGUGACAGCAACGCUGUAUACCUUUGUUGCAGCUUGUUAUUGUAUGGCAUCCCAAUGCUUGGUAUCAUUCUGUAUGCAAUCAGUGUUGCCACGCCAGAUUCAACUCACAUAGAGCUGUGAGCCACCCUGGUCGCAGAUGAUCAAAGGAGGAAAGAAAGGUUUACCUACCCGUCUUCAGAAAUGAAGCUGAUGUCCGAAGCUGUGUUCUGCAUCUUUUAAUUUAUUUUAUGUGUGAAAUAAAGCUGUGUGGCAAUUUUCUAUCUGAUGUUGCGUAGAUAUAGUCCUAACUUUCAAGGUUUUCUUGUUCCGUCUGAAGAUUAUUAAAGGUGUCUGGAAAAGGC